AAGUCGUAACAAGGUCUCCGUAGGUGAACCUGCGGAGGGAUCAUUACACAAAUAUGAAGGCGGGCUGGAACCUCUCGGGGUUACAGCCUUGCUGAAUUAUUCACCCUUGUCUUUUGCGUACUUCUUGUUUCCUUGGUGGGUUCGCCCACCACUAGGACAAACAUAAACCUUUUGUAAUUGCAAUCAGCGUCAGUAACAAAUUAAUAAUUACAACUUUCAACAACGGAUCUCUUGGUUCUGGCAUCGAUGAAGAACGCAGCGAAAUGCGAUAAGUAGUGUGAAUUGCAGAAUUCAGUGAAUCAUCGAAUCUUUGAACGCACAUUGCGCCCUUUGGUAUUCCAAAGGGCAUGCCUGUUCGAGCGUCAUUUGUACCCUCAAGCUUUGCUUGGUGUUGGGCGUCUUGUCUCUAGCUUUGCUGGAGACUCGCCUUAAAGUAAUUGGCAGCCGGCCUACUGGUUUCGGAGCGCAGCACAAGUCGCACUCUCUAUCAGCAAAGGUCUAGCAUCCAUUAAGCCUUUUUUUCAACUUUUGACCUCGGAUCAGGUAGGGAUACCCGCUGAACUUA
rnacentral:rRNA from 1 species